ensembl:lncRNA
CACGAAGGUCAGCUCUGUGAGGUCUGCGCCGCCUCACAGAGUGAGCACAGUGUUCCAGAUGUGCUAAGAACAUUUACCAUCUGCUCUCAGCAGACUCCACAUAUUCAGCACAGUGUUGUUAACUGCGGGUGCUGCUGUGGGCUGCCCAUCAGACCCUGGGAACUUAUCCGUCUUAAAACGGAAAGCUUGUAUCCUGUGACCAACAUCUCCUGAAAGCCCAGCCCCUGUGGGGAAGCCGCUCCACUCUCCGUUGCUGCGAGCUGGAUGCUUGAGAACUGCACAAACAGGUGGGACUUCCAGGCCGCUGAGCACAGUGGACGCAGAGAGGCUUCCGCCAGGGCCCUGACGGCACCAGGAAGUGUGCUUCACCCGGAGACCCCGCUCUGUCCCUGCUUCAGCUCCCGUCAGCAGCCCCUCCAAGUCCACAGUCGUCUCCUGCCCUGGACUUGAAGCCUGAGCUGCUUUAGUGCGCACGGGCCGCAGUCUGGGAGCCUGACCUGGGCUCGGUGCCCUGUGGAUCGGAUGUUCAGCAACUCAGGCUGUUCCUGGGACGACCAGGACACACACAGUGGCGGAGGCGACAGGCACCCGACGACCCGCGUGUGUCCCCUCAGGGCGCGUGCACAGACGGGGAAACGCCCACGAUGGCCUCACCUGAGCUUGUGUCCUGACGAGGGCUGGGCGCAGGAACCGCGGGGCCAGCCUGCCUCCGGCCCAGGCCUCAGUGCUGCGCUCUGUGCCCCCAGCCAGCGGAGGCGGCGAGAAGCCUCAGGCCCUGCUCUGCCCGGCAGGGACGUGGCCACGGGCGGCGGGUGGGUGAGACAGCAGGUCAGCCUUCCUCUCCCGCCAGCCUGGGACUCCUGGCGCACAGAGGGCCAAAGGCGUCCCCUCCGGACCCACGACGUAAGCACAGCAUGUUUUCUUAAUCCCUCUCACUGUGUCUGUACCUGGUUCCACGUGAUGUGCUCAGUGGAAGGAGAACUCGUGCUUGGCUCGAGCAGACGCUGAAGUUGGAAAGAAUGCUGUCCUGCGGUGGGUGAAGGAGCCGGAGGGAAGGCUGGAGGAGACAGGGGCGGCAGGGGCGGCUGCCCACGUGACCCUCGCAAGUGGGCUGGCCUUCGGUCCUGGCGCCCGGCAGUGCCAGCGGCGUCUGGAACGCCUGCGCGUGUGCUGGGCAGUGACUUCCUGGCUGAUUAGAAGUCAGGUCCGUAUUGUGGCUGCAUCUCGGGAGCCGUCUGCCUGAGCCCUCCCGUGAUCAGAGGCCCCGCUCCCGUGAAAGCGCAGCUCAGAGCGGGUCCUGUGUCCUAACCACACUCUCAGUCCUUCCCGGUUCAGAGUGCCACAAAGCUGGCCGCGCAGAGCGACAGCUGCAAGUCCCCACCAGUCUGUCCUUCUCAGACUGUCCAGACGGAUGUUGACAUUUUGGCCCGUGACUGGCUUGCAGAAAACUACAAGAGGAUUUUAGAAGAAGCGUGUUCUUGGCAAGCAAAUUAGAGAAUCCUGCUGUGUUUCUGUGACUUUCCUCUGCAACUGUGGUUCCAAAUCAUAGACAGCGGUUUCCUAGGAGGUAAAAUCCCAGGAGACGGAAGGCUGUGGGGGCCGUCGGUGGGUAGAUGUGGGUGGGGGGCCACCGUCCGGGAGGUUCGGGCGUGUGCUGAGGUUCGUUCCACCUGGAGCUCCGACGCAGGUACUGGAGGGGUGGCGAUGCCGCACGGCCAGCUCUCUCAACACCCUCCUGGCGGUGCAGAGACAGCGCUUGUGAAACCAGGACACUGCGCAGCAGAGCUCACAGCUGCAUCGGUCAUGCUCGGGAUGUCUCUGGAGGGCAGAGCCAGGCAGGCGGCAGGAUUGUGUCCCCAGGGGAGGACUUCAGGACAGGCAUGCCUGAGUCCGCCUGAGCCUGGCGAACCGCGCAGAUGGAGGUUCCGAAUCCGGGCUUUGCUUCCUCCUCUGGACGCAGUCACCGAAAAGCGUCUCAACCGUGACUCCGCGCAUGGCUGCUCGAUCGUGUCUGACUCUUGCGACCCCACGGACUGCAGCCCGCCAGGCUCCUCCGUCCAUGGGAUUCUCCAGGUGGGAAUGCUGGAGUGGGCUGCCAUUUCCUUCUCCGGGGGAUCUUCCCGACCCAGGGAUCCGUCUCCUGUGUCUGCUGCGUCGCAGGAGGACUCUUGGCCCGCUGAGCCCCGGGGGAGCCUCACUCACUGAGUGAGCACGAUGGCCUGAGGGCUGUGCUGUUCCUGAGACAGGGAUCGAGAGGCCGCCGCGCUCUGACUUGAGGGCAGGGGACACGACCGCUCCAUCUGUUGCCUCUAGCGGCAUGGUGGCCAAGGCUGACCCUGGUUCCGUCUCUCCGCCCCGCUGCCCCAGGAACCAGAUGGCCACGUGGACCUCACCCUGCAGUGAUGCCCCAGCACGUGGGGUGAAAGAGGAGGAGAAGGAAAGGGAGCCAGUAAGAUGCGAGACUGGAGGGGCAGCAGGGGCUGGUGGGCAUCGUCCCGCCACCUGGGGGACAAGUACGUGUGGGCGUCACCCGUGGGUGGUCCCGAGGAGGUUCUCCCCGAGCAAGCAGCUCAGGCCAGCGCAGCAGCUGCCGGCCUUCUCUGCGGAAGCCGCCGUGGCCGUGACUGGGAGUGUGACCACCGGCAUGGCCCUGGGGCCCAGCAGGGCGGGGAGAGGGCCCAGUCGACACAGCUCGGAUUCAGGCAGGAAACGGGCUCUGAACACAGGAGGGUCCCGAAAUCACAGCGGUGAGAACCUUCCACCCAGAGUGUCCUGAGGACAGAAGCUCUGCAGAAGCCCAUCCUAGGAAAGCGUGUGGAAGGAAGUUCUUGGCCCCAGGCUGGAGCAGACUGGCUUUUGCCCAGACCUGGAGGCCCAGCUGCCCAGGGCCUCAGCGCGGCGCUCAGAGGCGUGUGCGGUCCGGCCCACUGCCUGUCAUGCGGUUCAGGUUGGGCUGCCUUGUCACUAACCCUCACACGGACCUUCGAGGGCCACCCUGAGCUCGCUCCUUCUCCUCCUAGAGGGUCAUCUCUGAGCCCUGAGAGACGGUGGCCCCCAAGCCCCCGGGUCAGCACCCACUCUGGCCGUGGCUUGGAGGACGCGCCCGGACCUCCUGAGCUCUGCAGGGUCCUUGUCAGCUCACCUUUCCUGACCAAGGAGGGUGGAGUAUGCACCCUGGCCUCCUGAGCUCUGCAAGGUCGUCGUGGCCCAGCAGAGCAGCGUGUGGAAUGUGUUUAUUUAGUUCCUGGCUCACAGCAAGUGCUUGAUAAGUUUCAGAGAUCGUCCCAAAUAUUUCUAGCGCUGCUGAAGCCGAGUGUUUGAAACUGCAUCCGGUCCAUCUUAGAGCCUCUGCAGCAAUCCCGGCUCCGCCUUGGCUUAAACUUGGGCCUGGGAGCUGACCCCUAUAGGUCAGAGAAGCCCUUUCCACCUGUCCUGGGGAGGCCUGGGGUCCCUGGCCGAGCUGCGAGCAGCCCUCAGUGGUGGGUGGGCAACCAGACGGAAACCGCACAGCUGGUAAGCGCCUGUGUCCAGGCCUUGACUGAGGCUGACCCUGCCCCUGUUGCAGAAGACUCCUGAGAGUCCCUGGGGCAGCAAGGAGAUCCAACCAGGCCAUCCUAAAGGAAACCAGUCCUGAGUAUUCAUUGGAAGGACUGAUGCUGAGGCUGAAACUCCAGUAGUCUGGCCUCCUGAUGCGAACGGCUGACUCACUGGAAAAGACUCUGAUGCUGGGAGGGAUUAGGGGCAGGAGGAGAAGGGGACGGCAGAGGAUGAGAUGGCUGGAUGGCAUCACCGACUCAGUGGACAUGAGUUUGGGUGGACUCCAGGAGUUGGUGAUGGACAGGGAGGCCUGGCAUGCUGCGGUUCAUGGGGUCGCAGAGUCCUACGCGACCGAGCGACUGAGCUGACUGACCCUCCGCCCAACGGCGGCCGAGCCGGUGCCCUCCCGCCUGGAAGUGGUGUCACCGCGUUCACCCUGCACCCCCUCUGGCCCCAGGUGAGCAGACUGGAGGCCUGCACUUUUGCUAACUGUGGGGCAGCCCUGUCUCCACAGGGUCCCCGUCCCCUGCUUCUCCUUCGCUCCCGACCCUACUCCAAAGGGCGGAGCUGUGCAGCCGCAGCUCAGUAAAGGCUUUAUCUGAUUAAACUUUAAAGUGCGGACAUGAGAGAUUUUCUCCUUUAGUUUUUACUGCUUUAAAGGAAAAAUACCCCAAAUGCAAUGUGAGUCUCCCCUCAACUCUCUCAGCCACCUCCUCCAGGAAGCCUCAUGGAGGAGCCUGGCCCUGCCUCCUCUGCAGCCCGGCUGGGACUGCCUGCUCCGCACUCGCUUGUCUGUUAAGGUCCCCGUGUGGCCGCUUUUGUGUGACCACCACCUCUCGGGGCCAGUGGUCAGCCAGCCUGCUAAUAGAGUUCACCAAGAGAGGAUCAGCCUGGACUGGCAAAUUCACUCGACGUUUUGUCACUGUCUUUAUUGAGUGAGUGUGGAAUCCCACCCACUGAUACGCACUGACCGACCGCUCGAUGGUAGCAGGUGCUGGGUUUCUCCCUCCUGCAAGGGAGGUGGGGGUGAUGCAGGCACGGGAUCCGAGGGAGACGGAGGAAGGAGCAGGGGCCUCUGCCCGCAGGCAGCACUCUGCGCACCCGGCUGUGCACCCAGCUGUCCACCCCGUCCACUCUGUCCACCCAGCUGUCCACUCUGUCCACCCAGCUGUCCACUCUGUCCACCCAGCUGUCCACCUCAUCCACCCUUGCCCCUUCCAUCCACCCAGCUGUCCACCACCGACCACCCCCCUGUCCACCUGGCUGUCCACUCUGUCCACUCACCUGUCCGCUCCUGUCUGCCCCUUGUCAACUCUGUCUACUCACCUGUCCACCUCGUUCACCCGCCUGUCCCUCCCCUGUUUUGGGGUGUGACUCUGCUGCAGAGAGGCCAGGGCAGGGAGGCCUUGUGGUUAGAAUUGGCCCUACC